UACGUAGGUGGCAAGCGUUGUCCGGAAUUACUGGGCGUAAAGGGCGUGUAGGCGGCCUUUUAAGUCAGGCGUGAAAUCUCUGGGCUUAACCCAGAAAUUGCGUUUGAAACUGGAAGGCUUGAGGAUCGGAGAGGGUAGUGGAAUUCCCAGUGUAGCGGUGAAAUGCGUAGAUAUUGGGAGGAACACCAGUGGCGAAGGCGACUGCCUGGACGACACCUGACGCUGAGGCGCGAAAGCCAGGGGAGCAAACGGG
rnacentral:rRNA from 1 species